AGUGAACGCUGGCGGUAGGCCUAACACAUGCAAGUCGAACGGCAGCACAGUAAGAGCUUGCUCUUACGGGUGGCGAGUGGCGGACGGGUGAGGAAUACAUCGGAAUCUACUUUUUCGUGGGGGAUAACGUAGGGAAACUUACGCUAAUACCGCAUACGACCUACGGGUGAAAGCAGGGGAUCUUCGGACCUUUCGCGAUUGAAUGAGCCGAUGUCGGAUUAGCUAGUUGGCGGGGUAAAGGCCCACCAAGGCGACGAUCCGUAGCUGGUCUGAGAGGAUGAUCAGCCACACGGGAACUGAGACACGGUCCAGACUCCUAAGGGAGGCAGCAGUGGGGAAUAUUGGACAAUGGGCGCAAGCCUGAUCCAGCCAUACCGCGUGGGUGAAGAAGGCCUUCGGGUUGUAAAGCCCUUUUGUUGGGAAAGAAAAGCAGCAGGUUAAUACCCCGCUGUUCUGACGGUACCCAAAGAAUAAGCACCGGCUAACUUCGUG
rnacentral:rRNA from 1 species